UUAAGCAUAUUAAUUAGGGGAGGAAAAAAACUAACCAGGAUUUUCUUAGUAGCGGCGAGCGAAAAGAAAUCAGUUCAGCACUAAGUCACUUUGUCUAUAUGGCAAACGUGAGAUGCAGUGUAUGGAGCGUCAAUAUUCUAGUAUGAGAAAUUAACGAUUUAAGUCCUUCUUAAAUGAGGCCAUUUACCCAUAGAGGGUGCCAGGCCGUAUAACGUUAAUGAUUACUAGAUGAUGUUUCCAAAGAGUCGUGUUGCUUGAUAGUGCAGCACUAAGUGGGUGGUAAACUCCAUCUAAAACUAAAUAUAACCAUGAGACCGAUAGUAAACAAGUACCGUGAGGGAAAGUUGAAAAGAACUCUGAAUAGAGAGUUAAACAGUACGUGAAACUGCUUAGAGGUUAAGCCCGAUGAACCUGAAUAUCCGUUAUGGAAAAUUCAUCAUUAAAGUUGUAAUAUUUUAACAAUAUUAUAAUAAUAGUGUGCAUUUUUUCCAUAUAAGGACAUUGCAAUCUAUUAGCAUAUAACAAAUUUAUCAUAAAAUAUGACUUAUAGUUUAUUCAAAUUAUUAUGCUUGCAUUUUAACAUAGAAUAAAUGUCAUUAAUUUGAUAAAGUGUUGAUAAAUUAAAAUUAAUACAGUGCGUUAAUUUUUCGAAAUUAUAUAAUGGCAUAAUUAUCAUUGAUUUUUGUGUUUAUUAUAUGCAUUUGUAUGAUUAACAAUGCGAAAGAUUCAGGAUACCUUCGGGACCCGUCUUGAAACACGGACCAAGGAGUCUAACAUAUGUGCAAGUUAUUGGGAGAUACACCUAAUAGCGUAAUUAACUUGACUAAUAAUGGGAUUAGUUUUUUAACUAUUUAUAGAUAAUUAACACAAUCCCGGGGCGUUCUAUAUAGUUAUGUAUGAUAAUAUUUAUAUUAUUUAUGCCUCUAACUGGAACGAAAGAUGGUGAACUAUACUUGAUCAGGUUGAAGUCAGGGGAAACCCUGAUGGAAGACCGAAACAGUUCUGACGUGCAAAUCGAUUGUCAGAAUUGAGUAUAGGGCGAAAGACCAAUCGAACCAUCUAGUAGCUGGUUCCUUCCGAAGUUUCCCUCAGGAUAGCUGGUGCAUUUUAAUGUUAUAUAAAAUAAUCUUAUCUGGUAAAGCGAAUGAUUAGAGGCCUUAGGGUCGAAACGAUCUUAACCUAUUCUCAAACUUUAAAUGGGUAAGAACCUUAACUUUCUUGAUAUGAAGUUUAAGGUUAUGAUAUAAUGUGCCCAGUGGGCCACUUUUGGUAAGCAGAACUGGCGCUGUGGGAUGAACCAAACGUAAUGUUACGGUGCCCAAAUUAACAACUCAUGCAGAAACCAUGAAAGGCGGUGGUUGCUUAAAACAGCAGGACGGUGAUCAUGGAAGUCGAAAUCCGCUAAGGAGUGUGUAACAACUCACCUGCCGAAGCAACUAGCCCUUAAAAUGGAUGGCGCUUAAGUUGUAUACCUAUACAUUACCGCUAAAGUAGAUGAUUUAUAUUACCUGUGAUAUAAAUUUUGAAACUUUAGUGAGUAGGAAGGUACAAUGGUAUGCGUAGAAGUGUUUGGCGUAAGCCUUUAUGGAGCUGCCAUUGGCACAGAUCUUGGUGGUAGUAGCAAAUAAUCGAAUGAGACCUUGGAGGACUGAAGUGGAGAAGGGUUUCGUGUGAACAGUGGUUGAUCACGAGUUAGUCGGUCCUAAGUUCAAGGCGAAAGCCGAAAAUUUUCAAGUAAAAAUCAGUGAGUAAUAUUGUCAAAUCUUUUAUGAUUUUUAAUAACGUGAAUAAUUUUGAACGAAAGGGAAUACGGUUCCAAUUCCGUAACCUGUUGAGUAUCCGUUUGUUAUUAAAUAUGGGCCUCGUGCUCAUCCUGGCAACAGGAACGACCAUAAAGAAGCCGUCGAGAGAUAUCGGAAGAGUUUUCUUUCUGUUUUAUAGCCGUACUACCAUGGAAGUCUUUCGCAGAGAGAUAUGGUAGAUGGGCUAGAAGAGCAUGACAUAUACUGUUGUGUCGAUAUAUUCUCCUCGGACCUUGAAAAUUUAUGGUGGGGACACGCAAACUUCUCAACAGGCCGUACCAAUAUCCGCAGCUGGUCUCCAAGGUGAAGAGUCUCUAGUCGAUAGAAUAAUGUAGGUAAGGGAAGUCGGCAAAUUAGAUCCGUAACUUCGGGAUAAGGAUUGGCUCUGAAGAUUGAGAUAGUCGGGCUUGAUUGGGAAACAAUAACAUGGUUUAUGUGCUCGUUCUGGGUAAAUAGAGUUUCUAUCAUUUAUGGUAGUUACUUGUUCCCCGGAUAGUUUAGUUACGUAGCCAAUUGUGGAACUUUCUUGCUAAAAUUUUUAAGAAUACUAAUUGGGUUAAACCAGUUAGUUCUUAUUAAUUAUAACGAUUAUCAAUUAAUCGGACGGACUUGGGGAAUCCGACUGUCUAAUUAAAACAAAGCAUUGUGAUGGCCCUAGCGGGUGUUGACACAAUGUGAUUUCUGCCCAGUGCUCUGAAUGUCAAAGUGAAGAAAUUCAAGUAAGCGCGGGUCAACGGCGGGAGUAACUAUGAGUUAACUAUAAGUUAACUUUAUAUCGCAUCUUUAGAUAUAAGCAAAGCAUUUGACUCGGUGUCUCAUGCAGCAGUUAGCGCCACGCUAACUGCAUAUGGUGCCCCUAAAGAAUUCGUCGACUACGUACAAAAUUCGUACGAGGUCUGUGGCACAACGCUCAAUGGGGACGGAUGGAGAUCAGAGGAAUUCAUACCUGCUCGAGGUGUCAGACAGGGUGACCCGCUAUCUCCCAUAAUAUUCAACUUGAUCAUCGAUCAGUUGCUUAGGUCCUACCCCAAUGAGAUUGGUGCCACAAUCGGAGAUCACACAACAAACGCGGCCGCGUUCGCAGAUGAUAUUGUCUUAUUUGCGGAAACUCGUUUAGGCCUUCAAACAAUGCUAGAUACGACUGUCGAUUUUCUAUCUUCAGUCGGGCUUACCCUUAACUCGGAUAAAUGUUUUACAGUUGGAAUAAAGGGGCAACCGAAACAGAAGUGUACUGUGGUCAUCCCAGAGACCUUCCGUAUCGGUUCGCGCUCGUGUCCCGCAUUGAAGCGCACAGACGAGUGGAAGUAUUUAGGCAUAACAUUCACUGCACAAGGGAGGACCAGGUACAGUCCAGCUGUUGAGGCUGACAAGGUCCCCCUAAAACCACAACAGAAAUUGUUCGCACUCAGAACAGUUAUUAUCCACAACUUUACCAUAAGCUAACCCUAGGUAGUGUGAUGAUAGGUGUUCUGAGAAAGUGUGACAUACUGGUACGUUCGACCGUAAGGAAGUGGUUAGGACUUCCUCUGGACGUGUCAACUGCAUUCUUCCAUGCUCCUCAUAUAUAUGGGAGCCUCGGAAUCCCUUCAGUUCGUUGG
rnacentral:rRNA from 1 species